GAUGAACGCUGGCGGCGUGCUUAACACAUGCAAGUCGAACGGUGAAAGAGAGCUUGCUCUCUGGAUCAGUGGCGAACGGGUGAGUAACACGUGAGCAAUCUGCCCCUGACUCUGGGAUAAGCGCUGGAAACGGCGUCUAAUACCGGAUACGAGCUGCGAAGGCAUCUUCAGCAGCUGGAAAGAACUUCGGUCAGGGAUGAGCUCGCGGCCUAUCAGCUAGUUGGUGAGGUAACGGCUCACCAAGGCGUCGACGGGUAGCCGGCCUGAGAGGGUGACCGGCCACACUGGGACUGAGACACGGCCCAGACUCCUACGGGAGGCAGCAGUGGGGAAUAUUGCACAAUGGGCGAAAGCCUGAUGCGGCAACGCCGCGUGAGGGACGACGGCCUUCGGGUUGUAAACCUCUUUUAGCAGGGAAGAAGCGAAAGUGACGGUACCUGCAGAAAAAGCGCCGGCUAACUACGUG
rnacentral:rRNA from 1 species